rnacentral:rRNA from 1 species
GAGGGAAAGAUGAAAAGCACUUUGGAAAGAGAGUUAAACAGUAUGUGAAAUUGUUGAAAGGGAAACGAUUGAAGUCAGCCGUGUCGAGGACUCAGCCGGCCCUGCCGGUGUACUUCCUCUCGACGGGUCAACAUCAGUUUUGGCCGGCGGACAAGGGAGAUGGCAAUGUGGCACCCUCGGGUGUGUUAUAGCCCAUCGCCGCAUACGUCGGCCAAGACUGAGGCAUGCAGCUCGCCCUCGGGCCGGGGUUCGCCCACGUCCGAGCUUAGGAUGUUGACGGAAUGGCUUUAAACGACCCGUCUUGAAACACGGACCAAGGAGUCUAACAUAUCUGCGAGUGUUUGGGUGUCAAACCCGGACGCGAAAUGAAAGUAAACGUAGGAGGGAUCCGCAAGGAGCACCUUUGACCGAUCUGGAUCUUCUGUGAUGGAUUUGAGUAAGAGCAUAUAUGCUGGGACCCGAAAGAUGGUGAACUAUGCCUGAAUAGGGCGAAGCCAGGGGAAACUCUGGUGGAGGCUCGUAGCGAUUCUGACGUGCAAAUCGAUCGUCAAAUUUGGGUAUAGGGGCGAAAGACUAAUCGAACCGAGGGAAAGAUGAAAAGCACUUUGGAAAGAGAGUUAAACAGUAUGUGAAAUUGUUGAAAGGGAAACGAUUGAAGUCAGCCGUGUCGUGAGGACUCAGCCGGCCCUGCCGGUGUACUUCCUCUCGACGGGUCAACAUCAGUUUUGGCCGGCGGACAAGGGAGAUGGCAAUGUGGCACCCUCGGGUGUGUUAUAGCCCAUCGCCGCAUACGUCGGCCAAGACUGAGGCAUGCAGCUCGCCCUCCGGGGCCGGGGUUCGCCCACGUCCGAGCUUAGGAUGUUGACGGAAUGGCUUUAAACGACCCGUCUUGAAACACGGACCAAGGAGUCUAACAUAUCUGCGAGUGUUUGGGUGUCAAACCCGGACGCGAAAUGAAAGUAAACGUAGGAGGGAUCCGCAAGGAGCACCUUUGACCGAUCUGGAUCUUCUGUGAUGGAUUUGAGUAAGAGCAUAUAUGCUGGGACCCGAAAGAUGGUGAACUAUGCCUGAAUAGGGCGAAGCCAGGGGAAACUCUGGUGGAGGCUCGUAGCGAUUCUGACGUGCAAAUCGAUCGUCAAAUUUGGGUAUAGGGGCGAAAGACUAAUCGAACCAUCUAGUAGCUGGUUCUUGCC